AUUUUCUCCUUGGGGGAAAUUAUUGCUUAACUACUGUUAUGUAUUCACUGGCAGUCUUAGCCACUCAGCCAAAGAUAGUUCAAAAAAGGAAGUAGAGAAAGCUGAUUGAAGUGAAAUCCUCAAACUAAAUAUGAAAAAUAGAAGACUUAAGGCUUUAUAUUUUUCUUUCAUGAAGAAUCCCUAAUGUUCCUGACAUUAGAAAACCAUUUAAAAUCAAACUGCUGUGACUUUAUCAUUGUUGCGUCAUGAUUGCUUUGAUGUCUGAUCAUUUGGAUGUUUAUUCCUGGGACUGCCUUACUCAUUUCCACAGUGGGGCACACUCACAUGGUGGAGGGGUAGGGGAUUGUUUGUGGACACAAAUGGGGAAAUCCUUCUCUGUGUGUGUGUGUGUGCGUGUGUGUGUGUGUGUGUUAGUUACUGUAAGAUUUGGUUAAUAGAUGGGGAGCAGAGGGGACUGAUUUCAAGUAGAAGACAUUUCCUAUGGUUGCCGUGCUUGAGUACCAGCGUUAGCAGUCAUUAUAAGCUUAUGAUAAGCACCCACUCACGCAGCUGAAAUUAUUACUAAAAACUGGUCAUGAAGAUGGCAUUUAUGCAGACCACUAAGCAUCAUACCAGCCAGUUACACAUGCAGAAAUGUGAAUGGUACAUGUAACUUUUCAAGUCAUUAACCACCAGCAUCACAAUUUCCUUUAGGUUCUUAAAAUUGUGUUGUAUGCAUUUGCACAGAACCUAUGGAUUGUUACUCAGACAAUUUAACUGGCUCCUGUUGAAGAUUAUCAGUCUCUCCCUCACUCUGAAUCAGCACGUGGGAGAUUAUAGUUGUUUCCAUCUGUACAGGUUAUCUGAGGACUUGGGUUACCUGAGAAACCACUCUCAAGGAUCAGUGUUUAAUGUGGCCUUUCUAAGAGACAACACCAACAAAGAGCUGCUCUUGGCAGAUGGUACAGGAACAUGGCUGUGAGAAUGUGCUACCCUCAUGGUCCCCUGCUGACCCUCUACACUGGGAAACAUAUGCAUUGUUCAUUUCUCUGAUAUGUGAAUCAAGUAUAACCAUCAAUAACGUAAGCAAUACUAGUGAGCAGCUCUUAUGGAAAUAAUUGGACUGUUAACGGUAUCUGUUCUGAACUUGGGACUUCUCAUUUAUAUAUAAUCAUGCAAAUAGUUUAUUGUUAGCAAUUGAUAGUAGACUUUUGUGUCAUAACAUUUCCUUCGGUUUCUGUAAAACUUUAAGUAUGUGUAAAACUGAUGGUCUUUUUUUUUAAACUUCUUCAAUCCAAUUACAGUACCCAUCUACUCAGACAUGCCUUGAGAACUACAGCAUCAUCAGUGUUACCUAUGAAUUUUAGGCUAGGGUACUUACCUACUAGAGUAGCAUUCAAAAGUAAUUCUACUGAACAAGUAUAAUAUUAAGGAACAGGAGAGCUUAAGGUACAGCAUUAAAGUUUACUUUAUUUUAAAGAUGCAUCACUAACCUGAAACCCAGUGAUUUAUUAUUUUUUUAAUAAAUUAGUAGUAAUCUCAGGAUCUGCA
rnacentral:lncRNA from 1 species